rnacentral:rRNA from 1 species
UACGUAGGAUGCAAGCGUUGUCCGGAUUUACUGGGCGUAAAGCGCGUGUAGGCGGUUUGCCAAGUCCGGGGUGAAAGGCGGGGGCUCAACCCCCGAGCGGCGCUGGAAACUGGCAGACUUGAGUGUCGGAGAGGGGAGUGGAAUUCUCGGUGUAGCGGUGAAAUGCGUAGAGAUCGAGAGGAACACCCGUGGCGAAGGCGGCUCCCUGGCCGAACACUGACGCUGAGACGCGAAAGCGCGGGGAGCGAACGGG